rnacentral:rRNA from 1 species
GUAAGGAAUAUUGGACAAUGGACGCAAGUCUGAUCCAGCCAUGCCGCGUGAAGGAUUAAGGUCCUCUGGAUUGUAAACUUCUUUUAUAAGGGACGAAAAAAGGCUUUUCUAAGUCGUCUGACGGUACCUUAUGAAUAAGCACCGGCUAACUCCGUGCCAGCAGCCGCGGUAAUACGGAGGGUGCAAGCGUUAUCCGGAUUCACUGGUUUAAAGGGUGCGUAGGCGGGCAGGUAAGUCAGUGGUGAAAUCCUAGAGCUUAACUCUAGAACUGCCAUUGAUACUAUCUGUCUUGAAUAUUGUGGAGGUAAGCGGAAUAUGUCAUGUAGCGGUGAAAUGCUUAGAUAUGACAUAGAACACCUAUUGCGAAGGCAGCUUACUACGCAUAUAUUGACGCUGAGGCACGAAAGCGUGGGGAUCAAACAGGAUUAGAAACCCUUGUAGUCC